rnacentral:lncRNA from 1 species
CCUUUCUUGGGAAGAAUAUUUAACUGUGAGAGAACAAAGACAAAUAAUGAACCUCCAAGGGCAGUUGAAGUCAAUUGUGGCCUCACAACAAUCACAGUCCCCUGGGCCCCUGUCCAACCUAUUUUAGGGACAGUUUUAUGGAUCCUACCUGGAGUACAGCUGUAACAUAAAUACAGAUGGGCAAGGGCCUGGAUUUUGUUCUCUGCUCCUUGCAGAAGUACCCCAGUCACCAUUCAUAUGCUGAAGGCUAUUGCCUCUUUCUUCUGACAAUGCUUCCUUGCCUCUCAAGGAGUUCCAGCCUGUCAUAGGAGGUUCUACGAAGGCAGAAGAACUAAAUUCAAGAUAUUUGUAGCCAAGAGAUCUCAGCUGGACUGAUUUUUCCAAAUAAACAUAUCCCUCUUACCCCA